CUACGGGGUGCACCAGUGGGGAAUAUUGGACAAUGGGCGCAAGCCUGAUCCAGCAAUGCCGCGUGAGUGAAGACGGCCUUAGGGUUGUAAAACUCUUUCGCUAGGGAAGAUAAUGACUGUACCUAGUAAAGAAGUCCCGGCUAACUCCGUGCCAGCAGCCGCGGUAAUACGGAGGGAACUAGCGUUGUUCGGAAUUACUGGGCGUAAAGAGUUCGUAGGCGGACUGACAAGUUAGAGGUGAAAUCCCAGGGCUCAACCCUGGAACUGCCUUUAAAACUGUCAGUCUAGAGACCGGAAGAGGUUAGGGGAAUACCUAGUGUAGAGGUGAAAUUCGUAGAUAUUAGGUGGAACACCAGUGGCGAAGGCGCCUAACUGGUCCGGUACUGACGCUGAGGAACGAAAGCGUGGGGAGCAAACAGGAUUAGAUACCCGCGUAGUC
rnacentral:rRNA from 1 species